UUUAGGAACAUAUGAAACACUUUAGUGUUUUGAUGACAUUAGUCCUUGGACAUGUUUUGGCAUUAUCAGAAGAUGCCUUUAAACAGCACGUAUUCCAUACAAACUAUAUCCUCAAACGAUUAA